rnacentral:rRNA from 1 species
UGGGGAAUAUUGCACAAUGGAGGGAACUCUGAUGCAGCGACGCCGCGUGAGUGAUGAAGGAAUUCGUUUCGUAAAACUCUGUUCUAUGGGAAGAAAAGGACUGUACCAUAGGAGAAAGCUCCGGCUAAAUACGUGCCAGCAGCCGCGGUAAUACGUAUGGAGCGAGCGUUGUCCGGAAUUAUUGGGCGUAAAGGGUGCGCAGGCGGCUUUACAAGUUGGAUGUGAAAUAUUGUGGCUCAACCACAAACGUGCAUCCAAAACUGCAAAGCUUGAGUUAAGGAGAGGUAAGUGGAAUUCCUGGUGUAGCGGUGGAAUGCGUAGAUAUCAGGAGGAAUACCGGUGGCGAAGGCGACUUUCUGGACUUAAACUGACGCUCAGGCACGAAAGCGUGGGGAGCAAACAGG